AUUUUGAAGAGCUUGCACAGCACUGAACAAGGACGAGUACAUUACUAUGGUACUUUACUUCUAACUUGUCUUUCUGACCGUAUGCCUACUUAUUCCUUGCACUAUGGAACAGCGAAACGGAUCUAAUUUUAUACAUGUACAAUGGUAAGUCCACUUAUCAUUUUCCCUUUUCUUUUGAAGAGAAUGGUGUAAACAGAGUAAAUUUGCUUCUAUUUAUUGAACAUUUGGAUAUAUAAGCUAGAUAUUAGCCAUUGAGUAGCAUGAUCUUUUAAUAUUAAUGGGACUGAUUUAUGAUUAGUGGCUUAUAUUUCUUCUAGGAAUCUCCUCAAACAUCAAGGAUUUAAAGUGUUGUAGAAAUGCUGCUGACUCUAUGCUACUAGAAUGCUACUGGAAGGAGACUGAGGUUUGGUUCGAUUUACUUAUCAUUUCUCAGUUGUCUUAUCUUGUCUCUUUCACCACUGCUUCUCUUGGUAAUUAUUUUCAGCCGCAAUUGCUAAGUUGUAAGUUAAAUGUUUUACCUUGCUAUUUAUCUUCAUCCAAGUUCUCUUCUUUAGAUUUAAAUGCUAUCUAAGUGAGGCGCAUAAAAGUCGAGCACAAUUAUCUGCUGGAGAGAAGGUCGGCAACUCGGCAAUGCACUUACAGAAUAUAAUUGAAGUUUUUUAUUCUAUGGUGCAAGCUGUGAGAAGAUUAUUAGUAAUUAGUAGGCCAUUUGUAGUGCACAUUUAUAAAAUUGUCUGCUGACUUAUUAUGUAUGAUAAUUUUAUUGGUAAAUAUUAUAUAAAUAUUUGCAUUGAGCUA